CCUACCCACACAGCAGCACCACCAACUGCCUACCCACACAGCACCACCAACUACCUAUCCACACAGCAGCACCACCAACUGCCUAUCCACACAGCACCACCAACUGCCUACCCACACAGCAGCACCACCAACUGCCUAUCCACACAGCACCACCAACUGCCUACCCACACAGCACCACCAACUGCCUACCCACACAGCACCACCAACUGCCUACCCACACAGCAGCACCACCAACUACCUACCCACACAGCACCACCAACUGCCUACCCACACAGCAGCACCACCAACUGCCUACCCACACAGCAGCACCACCAACUGCCUACCCACACAGCAGCACCACCAACUACCUAUCUACACAGCAAGCCACACCACCAACUGGAGACUAGAUGUUCAAAUGCGUGAGCCUAUGGGAGACGCUUGAAUUCCCCGAAGAUAAAAAUAAGGAUGCACAUGCAUGGCUUUACAGUUACUGGGUUUAAGCAGUUUCCACCCAUCGCUGCCUCUCUCACUGGAUCUCAUGCAUAAAAUGAAAGCGUUUGAGUAAGAAAUCCCUCAGCCACUUCCACAUCCAAGAUUCGAGUGCCAUGUCAUCAGACAGGACAUGCUAAGGCCAGAACAACACCUCAUUCAAAGAGAAAAAAUUGACCAUGUCAAAUGACUUCUAAGAAAACCUUGCAUGGAAGGUAUUGGAGAGGUCUAUAAAUAAUGCAAUAAGAGCUGUCAUCCUUGGCCACUGCCUCUACUGACCCUCUUAUAGGACUUUACAGUCAAUAUCCCAAUUACUGCAAACAAAGAGGGUUACUCAACUUUCCCUCUUGUAGCUGAAACAUCAGAUUGCCCAUGACAACAGGUGGUGCUCAUACUGAUCAAUCCAGCCCAUCUAAUGUUUUAUAAUGCAUUUUUCUAAACAUCAAUGCUGCAGGCUGUAGGAUAUUCAAUAAAAUCUACGACACAAAAAAGUAUAACUAUUCUCUGAGUAUCUACUACAGGCCAGUUUUCUAAGCUCUGAGGUUCAACAGUGAACAAACAGUUUGAACAAACUGAACUCCAGACUUUAUGAAGGUUUUCAUCUCAGUUACUCUUCUGGCUCUGAGCUUGCUGGUCUUCUAAAUCAGUCUAGGAAAAAAUAACAAUGAAAGUGAAGACUGAAAUCCCCACAGACCAGAUCAAAUGAUUAAGUUUCUGUCAAAAGGAUGGAGAUAUAGGGAACUAGUGACCAACUGAGACCAAUCUAGAUCUGAGAAUCUCUCUAAAAAA